ACCUUUUUCCUAGACUUCUCCAAAUCUUGUGCAUUUUGGUCGGAUUCAAAGAAAAAGAAGAAAAUGGAUAACAGAAAUCAUCGUUUAAGAGUUCAAAACAAGAAACCAAUUAAGCGCAGCGGAAAGAAACCAUUGGUGAAGAAGUUUUUGGAUUAUCUUAAGUCUGAUACUUUUUUGUAUGCUCCUCUUCUUUCUCCUCAACCCUCCGGCUCUGGUUUUCCAUCACCCAACAACUUCAAAGUGGUGGAGCUGAAAAGACCUAUAAAAGAGAGGCACUGGUUUAAUGAGUAUCUCAAAUCUCAAGGAUAUAUGUAUGAUCCUGUUAUUGAGCUUCCACUUUCACCUCAAGAACCUUUGAAGGACCGAGAAAUGAUAAGGAAAGAUGUUUCAACUGGAAAGUCAACAAUGAAUGUCAACAACCAACAAACUGAUGAUUUGGAAAAUUUGAACAAAAGGUCUGAAAGUCAUAUUCCUCAAACACACAUCUCUGAUCGCGUUACUCAGGGACAAAAGGAAACUGUGAAGCACACCGUGUACCAAACUUGUCGGACAACUUCAACUUCAAAUUCUGAAUGAUCUUUUUUCCCCUUCAAGUUGGCCUAUUAAAAUUAAUGACACGAGGACCUACCAUAAUGCAAACCAAAGACUUGGCAAUUGCUUAAAAGAUAAGCAUGGAAUUGAGGGAUGAUAUAUUUCAAAGUUUGUAUUUGGUUUGGACAAGGGGGGGAGGACAGAAGUUUUAAUAAAGAAUUUGUAUUUCUUUAUCUUUAUAAUGUUUCAGGUCACAUGUAAUUAACCAAUAACAUUCUUGCUUUUCCACAACUAACGCAAUACACAUAACUCUCUAUCUA